rnacentral:rRNA from 1 species
AUUGAACGCUGGCGGCAGGCCUAACACAUGCAAGUCGAGCGAGCGGCGGACGGGUGAGUAAUGUCUGGGAACCUGCCUGAUGGAGGGGGAUAACUACUGGAAACGGUAGCUAAUACCGCAUACCAUCAGAUGUGCCCAGAUGGGAUUAGCUAGUAGGUGGGGUAACGGCUCACCUAGGCGACGCUCCCUAGCUGGUCUGAGAGGAUGACCAGCCACACUGGGACUGAGACACGGGCCAGACGCCGACGGGAGGCAGCAGUGGGGAAUAUUGCACAAUGGGCGCAAGCCUGAUGCAGCCAUGCCGCGUGUAUGAAGAAGGCCUUAGGGUUGUAAAGCACUUUCAGUGGGGAGGCGUUACCCGCAGAAGAAGCACCGGCUAACUCCGUGCCAGCAGCCGCGGUAAUAC